rnacentral:rRNA from 1 species
AGAGUUUGAUCCUGGCUCAGGAUGAACGCUAGCUACGGGCUUAACACAUGCAAAUCGAAGGGAAACGACAUCGAAAGCUUGCUUUUGAUGGGCGUCGACCGGCGCACGGGUGAGUAACGCGUAUCCAACCUGCCCAUCACUUGGGGAUAACCUUGCGAAAGUAAGACUAAUACCCAAUGAUAUCUCUAGAAGGCAUCUGAAAGAGAUUAAAGAUUUAUCGGUGAUGGAUGGGGAUGCGUCUGAUUAGCUUGUUGGCGGGGUAACGGCCACCAAAGCAACGAUCAGUAGGGGUUCUGAGAGGAAGGUCCCCCACAUUGGAACUGAGACACGGUCCAAACUCCUACGGGAGGCA